rnacentral:rRNA from 1 species
ACGGGUGAGUAAUGUCUGGGGAUCUGCCCGAUAGAGGGGGAUAACCACUGGAAACGGUGGCUAAUACCGCAUAACGUCGCAAGACCAAAGAGGGGGACCUUCGGGCCUCUCACUAUCGGAUGAACCCAGAUGGGAUUAGCUAGUAGGCGGGGUAACGGCCCACCUAGGCGACGAUCCCUAGCUGGUCUGGGAGGAUGACCAGCCACACUGGAACUGAGACACGGUCCAGACUCCUACGGGAGGCAGCAGUGGGGAAUAUUGCACAAUGGGCGCAAGCCUGAUGCAGCCAUGCCGCGUGUAUGAAGAAGGCCUUCGGGUUGUAAAGUACUUUCAGCGGAGAGGAAGGCAGUGAGGUUAAUAACCUUACUGAUUGACGUUACCCGCAGAAGAAGCACCGGCUAACUCCGUGCCAGCAGCCGCGGUAAUACGGAGGGUGCAAGCGUUAAUCGGAAUUACUGGGCGUAAAGCGCACGCAGGCGGUCUGUUAAGUCAGAUGUGAAAUCCCCGGGCUUAACCUGGGAACUGCAUUUGAAACUGGCAGGCUUGAGUCUCGUAGAGGGGGGUAGAAUUCCAGGUGUA